rnacentral:rRNA from 1 species
GACGAACGCUGGCGGCGUGCCUAAUACAUGCAAGUUGAGCGCUGAAGGUUGGUACUUGUACCGACUGGAUGAGCAGCGAACGGGUGAGUAACGCGUGGGGAAUCUGCCUUUGAGCGGGGGACAACAUUUGGAAACGAAUGCUAAUACCGCAUAAAAACUUUAAACACAAGUUUUAAGUUUGAAAGAUGCAAUUGCAUCACUCAAAGAUGAUCCCGCGUUGUAUUAGCUAGUUGGUGAGGUAAAGGCUCACCAAGGCGAUGAUACAUAGCCGACCUGAGAGGGUGAUCGGCCACAUUGGGACUGAGACACGGCCCAAACGCCUACGGGAGGCAGCAGUAGGGAAUCUUCGGCAAUGGACGAAAGUCUGACCGAGCAACGCCGCGGGAGUGAAGAAGGGUUUCGGAUCGUAAAACUCUGUUGGUAGAGAAGAACGUUGGUGAGAGUGGAAAGCUCAUCAAGUGACGGUAACUACCCAGAAAGGGACGGCUAACUACGUG